GCCCUGGUGGCACAAUGGUUAAGUGCUUGGCUGCUAAGCCAAAGGCUGGUGAUUCUAACUUGCCCCGUGGCU
rnacentral:tRNA from 1 species